UAUUUCUAUAAUCCUUAUCGCUGACCGCUGGGGCCCACACAUCACCACCUACCUCCAGGCAGAAUCCAGGACGAACACGCGCACGAACAGACUCGGAAAAUCCCAGGUUUCUCGCUCGAUUCGACUCGGUUUCUUGCCCCCUCGGCCACGAAAAAUCCUCUAUAAAUACUCCACGACCCCGUACUAUUUUCCGCUCAAAAAACCCUAACCAAUGUAGCUCCAAUCCGCCGAAUUUCGAUCUCGCCGCCGCCGCCGUUUUGGAGCUCGAGCACCGGAGUCGCCGGGAUUUCUCGCCGGAGUUCCACCAAAGGCCGACGACUCCAUCCAUACCUCGCCGACGUUCCGGGAAGCGGAAGACGACGACCAGGACACUGACGUGAUCGCCAGGAGGAGAGGAACACCGUCGUCUACUUCACCGCCUCGGGAGUUCGCCGGAGCCACCGUCACCAUCGACAUCUGACCGCCACAGCCGCCCGUCUCCGGCCAUCUCUGUCUUCUCCGACUGCGAGGAGUGCAACGUCUGCGAUUGCAACGAGUGCGUGAACAACUUCAACAACCA